UGGGGAAUCUUGCGCAAUGGGAGAAAUCCUGACGCAGCAACGCCGCGUGGGUGAUGAAGGUCUUCGGAUCGUAAAGCCCUGUCGAAGGGGAAGAUGCUUGUGCAUGUUAACAGUAUGCACAGGUGACGGUACCCUUAAAGGAAGCACCGGCUAACUCUGUGCCAGCAGCCGCGGUAAUACAGAGGGUGCAAGCGUUGUUCGGAAUUAUUGGGGGCGUAAAGGGAGUGUAGGCGGUCUUGUAAGUCUUCUGUGAAAUCUACGGGCUUAGCCUGUAACGUGCAGAGGAAACUGUGAGACUUGAGUGUCGGAGAGGAUAGGGGAAUACCCAGUGUAGAGGUGAAAUUCGUAGAGAUUGGGUGGAACACCAGUGGCGAAGGCGCCUGUCUGGCUGACAACUGACGCUGAGACUCGAAAGCAUGGGGAGCAAACAGGAUUAGAUACCCUGGUAGUCCAUGCCGUAAACGAUGAUAGCUAGAUGUGUGCGGUAUUGACCCC
rnacentral:rRNA from 1 species